rnacentral:pre_miRNA from 12 species
GUGAGGACUCGGGAGGUGGAGGGUGGCAUCGUCAGGGCCUGGACGCUGUCUUAGCUCGCUUCUCCCCCCACCUCCUCUCUCCUCAG